UCCCAUAUGGUCUAGCGGUUAGAUUCUGGUUUUUGUUUCACCCAGAUGGCCUGGGUUCAACUCCCGGUAUGGGAA